GGCAGAAUGCAGAGGCCGGUGUGGCUCACAAGCGCCCCCAGCUGGCUGUGCACCAGCAUAACCCAGUUGGUGGUCAUGUUGGUUGGCCAAUGCGAAAACCAGAUCAGCUGCUGCUUCUGGGACCUGGUGCUAAGGGAGCAUGCUGCGGUCAGCCAGAAAGGAAUUUAUUAUGAGGCAAUAAGCAGCUUCUUUAGAACUGUGGAUACCAGCCAUCUUGAUUGGCAUGGAAGAAGGGAUAGUGAGUGAAAUUCUUCAGGGACCAGUGAGAGAUGUAUUUGAUACCAAACAACUCAUCACUGAUAUUUCUGGCUCAGGAAAUAAUUGGGCUGUGGAUCACAAAGUUUUUGGCAGUCUUUUUCAAGACCAGGUUUUAGAGAAACUCAGAAAGUUGGCAGAGCACUGUGAUUGCUUGCAGUGUGUCUUUAUAAUACGUUCCGUGGGAGGAGAAUCAGAAUCUGGACUUGGCACAUUUCUUUUAAAGAUGCUUGAAGAUAAAUUCCUAGAAGUUUGUAGAUUUAUGACCUCCAUUUAUCCUUCCGGUGAGGAGGAUGUCAUAACUUUACCUCAUAAGGGCAUCUUGGCGAUGAAGGAACUUAAUGAGCGUGCAGACUGUGUGUUGCCCAUUGACAGUCUUUAUUUGACAUCAUUAGCAAAAUUGACCUCGUAGUGAAUUCUGGAAAGUUGGGUACAACCGUAGAUACACUUCAAGUGCUGUGGCUUUAAGGAGCGGCAUAAUAAGCCCUUUGUUGCAGUCAACAACAUUGUGGCAAAUUUGCUCAACCUAAUAAGCUCUGCAAGAUUAGAAGGGUCCCUUAAUAAGGACUGUAAUGAAAUCAGCAUGAAUUUGGUUCCUUUUCCUUAGCUUCAUUAUCUUGUAUCAAGCCUAACACCUCUAUGUACGCUGGUGGAUGUUAGCAUUCCUACUAAAAGAUUGGAUCAGAUGUUUUCAGAUGACUUUAGUAAAGAUCACCAGCUGCUUCAGGCAGACCCCAAACAUAGUCUUUACCUCACCUGCGUGCUCAUGGUUAGAGGAAAUGUACAGAUUUUACAUCUUCGCAGAAAUAUUGAAAGAUUAAAAUCAUCUCUACAAUUUGUCUUCUGGAAUCAAGAAGGCUAGAAGACCAGCCUGUCCCUCCUAUGGGCCAUUUUUAUUCAUUAUUAGCUUUAGCAAAUAACACACGUGUGAAGCCGACAUUCAUGGAACUGAAAGAGAGAUUCAUGAGGCUCUGCAAGAAAAAAGCUCACCUUCAUCGCUGUCUACAAGUUGAAGGGAUGGAAGAAAACUAUUUCACAGAAGCUGUGUUAUUUUUAUCAGCACUCAUAUGGGAGUGGCCACAACUGUAUGAGUGGACGCCACAAAAAACAUAACCUAUACAAGAUUUACCGAGCCUAAGCAUAGCCGUGUAA